rnacentral:rRNA from 1 species
UACGGAGGGUGCAAGCGUUAAUCGGAAUUACUGGGCGUAAAGCGCACGCAGGUGGCUGAGUCAGUCGAUUGUGAAAGCCCUGGGCUUAACCUGGGAAUUGCAGUCGAUACUACUCAGCUAGAGUAUGGGAGAGGGUAGUGGAAUUCCCGGUGUAGCGGUGAAAUGCGUAGAUAUCGGGAGGAACAUCAGUUGCGAAGGCGGCUACCUGGCCCAAUACUGACACUCAGGUGCGACAGCGUGGGGAGCAAACAGG